AGUGGCCAGGCCGCAGGAAGGCAGGCGGGAGCAGCCCGGGAGGACUCACCAAGUUCUUAUUUUGCUUUUAAAGCCUCCAGCUCCUGGCCCAGGGAGCCAGGUACAGUCAACCUGUUGGAAAAGUGCCUCCUUCUCAGGGAAGCCUCGGGCAUGGGAAAAAGCUAGGAUGCUCAGAACCAAACAGGAACUGAAAGUCAGCCCAGCCAAGUCCUUCAUUUCACAGCUGAGGAAACUGAGGCCCAGAGAGGCUGACCUGCUUGGGGUCACGCACACGUAGGGUGGUGCAGGCCUGUGAUCUUUGCACUGGGCCCCCAGACCUCUCUGGAGAGACGUCACACUCCUCAGAACCAGCAAGCUGCUGGGUGAUGCCACAGGACUCCCUGAAAAACCGGCCCGUUGAAGACCAGCACAGGGUGGGCAGGAGGGUCCCCAGACGGACCUGAGGCCCAGUCCUGGCCCUGCCAGUUUCUAACAGGGUGGCCCUGGGCAGGUGUCUUACCCUCUCUAGGCCUCAGUCUCCCCUCUGGCCACCUGCUGGGAUCUCCAGGGGAGUUCAGUGAGUGGCAGUGUGCGGUCAGCCCGGUGCACACGGGGUUCCCUCUGUGCUCACCAAACCUCAGAGGAGGUGGCCCUGGAGCCUUGAAGAAGAGGACGCCUCCUGCCUGCCGCUGCUGGGGGAAAGCCCACCUGGCCCUCCGACGCACAUAUACACACGGACAGGACAGCUUGAGAGCACGCGGAGAAUUUGCUUCUCCUGAGAGCAGGCUGGAGUUCAGGGGUCAGAGCGGGUGAAUUUGGGCUUUCCCUCUGCAAAACUCACGUGUGAAACCCACUCAUUUGUGCAACAAAUAUUUGCCGAGUGCUUGCUGUGUACAAGGUCCUGCCCCAGGGCGGGAGACAGAGCCAUGACCAAAGCAAACAGAAUCCUGCCCCAUCGUCCUUACUUCCAGAGGGCGGGAUCAUCAACAAGAGUCACAAAUGAUCAAACGCACAUGGGGAGUAAAUAGUGAUUGCGGAGCAGGGAUCGGAGAGGGAUCGGUGCCAAUGAGAAAAGAGUUGAGCAGAGCAAGGGACUAGGAAGCGACGGGGAUGGGAAUUUUAGAGGGGACCCAGAAAGGACCAGCCCGAGCAGGUGACCUCUGAACACAGAGAGGAAUGAGGUGAGGGCACAAGCCAUGACGGUUUCUGCAGGAAGAACUUUCCAGGUGGGGGAACAGCCCCUGCAAAGGCCCUGAGGCAGGAGCCCCGUGUAACAGCAGCUCCAGCGAGCAAAGGACGGAAGGAGGGGAUGAGGGGAGGAGGUGGAGGACACCAUGUGUGGGUGUGGAUUGGGAGAGAGGACCGCCCUUCCUCAUCUGUGGUGUCGGCUUGUUCUGUUUCAGGGUGAUAGAAUUGCUCAGCCUCCACGAGGUAGGAAAUCCCAGAAGACAAGGAGGUCCAUGAAGCGGGGGAUGAGAAUCCCACCAGUUUGAAACGUGCCACGUUGGUGACGCUCCUUCCUUGAGGCUUCUUUGUCCCCCUCCCCAACCUCAUUUCACACUCUGCUCCUCACACAAUAGAGUCUCAGAAGGCCAUGGCCACAAAGGGUCAGGGCACCAGCCUUGGGACAAGACCCAAAUCAUCAACCAGAUGUCACAGCUGCUGACCCUGGCCUCACCCAGCCGCCCUCUGCCUUGCCUCCUGCGCCCACCCCAAGCCUUGACAAGAGCUGUUCCCUCCAUUAGGAACGUGCUCCCUUCACUGUCCGCCCGCAGAGGUGCACAUCUUCCGGGUCUCACACGUGGUGAUGACUCAGACAACUCAGCCAACUACUCAUUGACUGAAUGAAUACAUUCACAGUUGUGUCUCCAGGGUCCUCAACUGAUUCCAUACAUUAGCUGCGUACCUGCCGUGUACCAUCCCUCUUUCUCAGAUUUUCAGUCAGCAAUCAGGAGACCUGGGUUUCAGCUGCGUGACUUGGAGCAAGUCACGUGUCUUCUCUGGCCCUCAAUUACAAUCAAAUCUUUCAGAGCUGGAAGGGAUCGUAGAGUUCUCCAGUCUAAGCCCUUGCCCGAUGCAUGGGACAGCUCUGCUGCAUCCACGUUCUGUCAUGACCCAGUCUCUCCUUGUUCACCUCCAGAGACAGGGAGUUCACUACCAAACUCCCAAGAAGGUUCACUCCUGGGUAUCUUCCAGAGUCAAUGAAGAUCCCUCAGACUGGAAAAGGCGUAGGCAUUAGCAGACCUGGUUCAGAUCAUACUUCUAGCUCUAUGACCUUGGGCACGUCACUUAACCUUUGUGAGCCCAAGGUUUACUAUCCGUAAAACGAGGAUCAUAAUGUUUUCUGUUGGAGUUGUCUCAAGGAUCAAGCAAGAUGGCCAGGAAGUGCCCGGCACACUGUAGACUCCGGAGACAUUUAAGAGAUGUCAAAUAUACACUAAGGAGCUCCACGUCCUGAUUACUACAGCACUUCCCAGGACCUAGACUCUGCGUCGUUCCAGGCCCUGGGACCCACCAUUCUACUUUUUAUCUUUAUGAAUUUGACAACUCCAAGAACCUCAUAGACAGGGUCUCGUUAUGUUGCCCAGGCUGGUCUUGAACUCAAACAAUUCUCCUGCCUCAGCCUCCCGAAGUGCUGGGAUUACAGGCAUGAGCUACCACAUGCAGCUUGUUUUUUUUGAGGAACUGCCAUACUCAUUUCUACAGUGGGAGCACCAUAGAACACUGCCACCAGCUAUGCUAGCACCAGAUGACAGUGUGGAAAUGCAGAGAACACACAGAAGGAAUGCAGGGAAAAGAUGCAAAAUGCAAAUAGCUGUCAGAUUUGGGGCAGCAAUCCAAUUUUUCUGUGGUUGUCCUGGGACAUGGAUGAAGUGGCUUCCCUGCGAGUUCCCCAGCCGUGCGCUGACUCUGCUGUCUGGCGGUCAUGCACCCCCACGUGCAGGUGAGCACAGGCCUCCGAGGAGACGUCUUCGCCCCUCAGUUGGCUUGGACACACAUUUCCCUUGCUGUUCCUACUUGGGUUUCUCCCUGCUCCCACAAAGCUUAGUGAGGAUGACUGGG
rnacentral:lncRNA from 1 species